UACGUAGGGCGCAAGCGUUGUCCGGAAUUAUUGGGCGUAAAGAGCUCGUAGGCGGCUUGUCACGUCGGAUGUGAAAGCCCGGGGCUUAACCCCGGGUCGGCAGUGGAUACGGGCAGGCUAGAGGUAGGUAGGGGAGAAUGGAAUCCCCGGUGUAGCGGUGAAAUGCGCAGAUAUCGGGAGGAACACCGGUGGCGAAGGCGGCUCUCUGGGACGGUACUGACGCUGAGACGCGAAAGCGUGGGGAGCGAACAGG
rnacentral:rRNA from 1 species